rnacentral:lncRNA from 1 species
AUUUCAGCACUCUGUUGCAGAACUUUGCUGAGAGGUUUUCAUUGGCUGUUGCCAUCAUGAUCUGGACCAACUCUCCACUUUCUGAAAAGAAUUCCUCCAUGGCUUUUCGAGCUUGGCUGCUCUCCAGCUGUUUCUCCAGAUGCUGUAAGCAUUCCUCCAAGAUGGACUCAUCCAGGCCACUGUUUGGAUCAGAGUGAUGGGCCAGUAUGUUAUAGCAUCCUGUGAUCAAUUUCUCAUAUACACGUGCCAGGAAUUCAUCUGAUUCUGCAGGACCCAAGAUCCUUUCUAGGGAGUUGCUGCUUAUCUCUGCC